ACUUUAUUUUCAGCGGCGGAAGAUUUACGAUCUUUUGCCGUAGAAAAUAAAGUCU
rnacentral:precursor_RNA from 1 species